UCGUCUCCAUCUUUCCUCGUCUCCUUCUUCCUCGUCCUUCUUCAUACAAACAUGAAUUCACACAAAAGUAAAAAUUCAGUUUCCUUCGUGUUUCUUUCGUUCGUGUUCUUCAUAUCUAUCCAAUUCAUAUGCCGAACGAAAAAUCACUAACUCAUAUUCAUCUUCCAAUCUCAAAUAACGGUAUUCUUGGUAUUCAUUUAAAGUACUGAUCUGUGUUAGUGAUUUUUCGACCUCAACUCAUCGUCCUCAAAUUUCGACCUCAAUCUUCCUAUUCAUUUAACUGUGUUAUUGGUAUCCAUCUUCGGACAUCAUGGAUCUCAUUUAAGAUUAGGGAUUUUCGUCGUCUUCCAAUUUCAUGGAUGUCGCCCAGAUUUUCAAAGGCACUUCUCCGGAUGCUUCGAAGUUAUUACGAACAUGUUUCUCAUUACGAGAAUUCGCUUGUGAAAAAAUUCUAUGUGGUACAUCAUGUCAAACCAAUUGGAGGCCAGAAGACCCGCUUCAUCAUGAUGGGCAAUGUUUUCUGCUCAGAAUAUCCAAUCCAUGGACGAUUUGACUUGAAGGGAUAAGACUGAAGAAGAGAUUGAUGAAACUACCACCCACAAGGACCUCGAUCUCAUCACGAAAGCAUGACUCUUAUCAGAGUGAAAAGUUUAUGCGUAGUUAUCGCUUCCUUGAAGCAGAACGCUACAGGACAAUGAUCGAGUCAAAGCUCUUCAUUUUUCCUAGAGUAUAAUUUUCUGUUUUGAUGUUUCUGGUGGAGCAGUGCAGCGCAUUUGCUGCUGCUCUUUGCUUGGGAGCUCUGUUUUUUUUUUUUUUUUGCUUUAUGAGUGUGUUAUAUAGCCUUCUGGUGUAUUUGUUUUGGGGACGUGUUUGUCCCAUUUUGCGGUUCUGCUGUUCGGUUUCGUUUUUGUGCGGAAUAUUGGAAAGUUUCCUUAAUAUCAUGAGGUAAAUCAUCCUAAAUAUUUAGUGUUAGUACAUAUCCAUGAAUGGUU